rnacentral:rRNA from 1 species
CCUACGGGAGGCAGCAGUGGGGAAUAUUGCACAAUGGGGGAAACCCUGAUGCAGCAACGCCGCGUGGAGGAUGACACAUUUCGGUGCGUAAACUCCUUUUAUAUAGGAAGAUAAUGACGGUACUAUAUGAAUAAGCACCGGCUAACUCCGUGCCAGCAGCCGCGGUAAUACGUAGGGUGCGAGCGUUAAUCGGAAUUACUGGGCGUAAAGCGUGCGCAGGCGGUUUUGUAAGACAGGCGUGAAAUCCCCGGGCUCAACCUGGGAACUGCGCUUGUGACUGCAUCACUUGAGUACGGCAGAGGGGGGUGGAAUUCCACGUGUAGCAGUGAAAUGCGUAGAGAUGUGGAGGAACACCGAUGGCGAAGGCAGCCCCCUGGGUCGAUACUGACGCUCAUGCACGAAAGCGUGGGUAGCAAACAGGAUUAGAUACCCUGGUAGUCCACGCCCUAAACGAUGUCAACUAGGUGUUGGGUGGGUAAAACCAUUUAGUACCGUAGCUAACGCGUGAAGUUGACCGCCUGGGGAGUACGGCCGCAAGGUUAAAACUCAAAGGAAUUGACGG